rnacentral:lncRNA from 1 species
CAUUGCAUUUCCCUUAUUAUUAUUAUUAUUGAUGGAUAUAAAGUCUUGAACUUGACUCUGUUGUCACCAAAUUCCUCUGAACACUUAACUUAGCAGACUAUGUUUAUAUAUUAGGAAGGUCCUCCAACCACUGCAAUUCUGUACAAUCACACCAAACUCUACAAUUACUAUGUUCAGUGGGUGCUACAACAACAACAAAUGCAGCACUUGGUGGGUCUAAUACAUAAUUACACACCAGCUCCAAUUUUUUCCUUCUUAUUACUUUCAUUUUGGUCUUGUUUUUUCCUAACAAAGCAGGGGACAAAACUGAAACAUGAAAAACUCCAUCAACUAGUGAAAGCCCCCUGCAACCAUGCUUGCAGCCUUGGCCUCAUCAGCUGGUUUUGGGGUUGGCAGCAAGACAAUCGCCAUUAUGGCGCUCAAGGCGGCCGCCGCUGCCCCCACCAUGAAAGCCGGCAAGUUGCCACCACCAAACAAAGCAUCCCAAGGACCACUCAGUGCAGACACCACCAUCUGUACAUUCACAUGUGUGUAUACAUGGUCAAAUAAUUGACUAAUAAUACUCAUACUUUAUACUUAUAUUCAAAGUAUAUUUCUGGUUCAAUCAGACUAACCUGUGGUACAACAAUUGCAAGAUUGAGGACUCCCAAUGAUAAACCUGAAUCAAGAAAAAGGAUUAGUAACCCAGUUGAAUACAUCAAUGGACCAAAGUAUGAGAACAAAUUAUUUGAUUAAAUGUGCAUAUAAAUAAAAUGAUCUAAUUUUGACAAGUUGUGAAUUGAUUUAUACCUUGCCCUGCUCCUGAAGCGCUGGAGUAUAUUGAUGCAAGAGCAAAAGGAACACUGAAAGUAAUCUGAACACAUGAAUAGAAAGUAGAACAUUAGUUUAAGGCAAGUAGAUCAUUUUUAAGCUUUUCAGUUCAACUUGUCUCAUACUUCUUUGUUUUUUUUAAUUGUUCAAUAAACCUCGUUUUUAAUGUAUCUUCACUUCACUCUUACAUAAAGAAUAAGGGUACGUUUAUUUUCAAUCUGUAUUUGAAUUAUUAUGAACAGUGUCUGACAUAGAUUAGGUAAUCCCUGCCAAAAAUAUUAGACUGACAAGAAGUCCAAACCAAAACUCCACCAGUCAAAAGAGUCCACUUUUUUAGACUUUUCAAGAUUCUUUAUACAAAACAAGUUAUCAAAGAUAUACAAACUUGCAUUCAAUUUUCUCAUUUCCAAGAAGAAACACUCCUUAUAUGUUUAUCUGUUUGAAUAUUUUAUAAUUCCUUAUAAAAAUAAAAAAAUAGCCUUAAAAAAUAUUGUAGUAGAAUUUAUGUGCAUAUGACAACUAGGUACGGCCCAACUACUGUCCAACACCACCCUUGUCCAGAAUUUUUUUUGAAGAAAUAUAAAAAACAUUACAACAUAAAUACGAACUAUAUAUAACAGAAAAAUAAACAGAUGCCCAGUAAUUAAAUGUUUAGUAAAAAAACUACAACGAUUUUUUUAAGAUGUAGAGAUUAAAACAUAAACAUUAAAAAGAUUAAAUGAAUAAUUAAAUUACCGGGAUGGGUUAAUGAUUUAAACAAUUUAGAAAGAAAAGUUAAAACUUGCUAAUUUUUCAAAUGUAACUGAAAUUCAGUAAACCAAACGCAAUCGUUUAGAACACGUAGAGAAGAGAGAGAAAACGUUACCGCAAGGGGAACUCCGAGAACCGCGAAGAAAACCAUGGAGCCAAUUUUGACGCCGUCGGAGGGGUGACCCACGGCGGCGGGGUUCAAGUGGCGCUGGUGCUCUGCCAUCUUGGUUAUGACCACGGUCAUUCCGAAGCCAAUCGCGAGAAUGAAGUUCACGAUCCCCCAGAGCCUCUUCACUCCCCCAACCAUGCGGCCCAAGGGUUCAACCGCCAGCGACAUGAACCCCAAAACGACGGCGUUUAUCAUGAGUCCCAGCGACCCCACGCGCACCCCCUCCGCGUACGCGUCCUCGCCCGCCGUUCCGCCGUACACCUCGCGACCCAUCCAGUCGGUGUCGAAGAGGAAGUAGGGGAACCACCCGAUCCAGUUGACAGCUGUCACCAACAUGAGCAUCCACAUGGGUCUU